CACACACGGCUAUGUCAACUAUCUUGAUCGAACUGCCGCAAAAUCCCAGGGGCUAGCGUUCACUGCAAACAACGCUAUAUAUAUGGGUGUUGAUUUUAAAAACGUGGCUUCUGGAAGAGGGCGAUCCAGCGUUCGACUUACCAGCAACAAGGCCUAUGACAGCGGCCUCAUAAUCGCUGAUAUCGAGCACAUGCCUGGAGGAAUUUGCGGGACGUGGCCUGCGUUUUGGAUGUUUGGGCCAAACUGGCCUAACAACGGCGAAAUCGACAUUAUAGAGGG
rnacentral:sRNA from 1 species